UGGGAAGGGCUUUUUGAAGGCAGCUUGUUCAGUUCUCCGACUGACACAUCUCUCUGUCUGUAAUACCCUGCCUAAUGGUCUUUUCUUGAUCAUCUCCAGUAACGAGAAACUUGUAACCUCCAGAGGCAGCAUUUUUAUCUUUACACGUGCUGUUAAAAGGCCUUUAAAUGUAACCCUGAUGUGGCUCUGUGUACCUCCCAGUGUGUUCACCAGCUGUGCGCCCUACGCUUUGUACGACGUGGAGCACAAAUCUAACCGCUGUCAUACGGAAGAGGAGUUUGAUAUCUCGCAUGUUUAACAGGACAGGUCUGUCCUCAGAAGGUGAAGACUUCAUGAAUUUGUCCACUACUGUAUCCCCAGCAUCUCAUGGGUGCAAAUAAACAUUUCCGAAGGCCUAAUUAAAUGAAACCUUUGAAAGCGUCCGACGCUUUGUAGGAGGUGAAUCGAUGGAGAGUUCUGAUGACACAACAUAUGCCCUUCUAUUUCCGGGAACCCAGAACCUCAUCCUACCAAAGAUGAUGUGGUUCCCUUGCUCUGCCCUCCUUUUCAAUGCAUAGCUUCACUCAAAUAUUCACUGACCCCACGCACUCAGCAAAUGUUUGUUAAAUAGAGUGACAGAUACAAUAACAGAUUCAAAAGGCACAUUUUGGAAUAGAAGAACACAGCAGACUGGACACCAGGAGACCCGGAAUGCUAGUCCUUUCUCCGUCGCCAGCUACAUCAGCUUAGGUAAGUCUCUGAUGUGAUCUCCACCUUCAGUUAAUCACCAAAUAAUCAAUCAAAGGGUAAAACAGAUUAAUUCUAAGAGACCUUCCAACUCUGACAUCCUAGAAUAUCAUAAAAUAUUCUCUUAUUUUCUUCUUGCAACUGGCCGGCGUUAAUUGAUUUUAGAAAUGCCAUUGCAUUUGCAGACCUGCGGGAAAUUCGUUCUUUACCACAGCCAUGGCCAAGGUCCUUUCAAGUAGCCACCAUCCCAGGCCACAAUUAGACCCCAUUUAUCCACGAGUCCAUUUCCCAGCAAUCUGACUCACUCAGGACCUUUUGAUCCCAAACCCAUCAAAAGAGUCCCCUGGGUAUCCACAUAAGCGGUCAGAAAGCCCCAGGAUUAAAGAUUAUGUGCAUAGCUUCUCAUGCCCUCUUUCAAAGCCUUAUAUAGAGUCUAGAUUCUCGUUUUCUAUCAAUUACUCAAGGGUACUGUUUCCUCUGUUGGAACCUGUCUUCCUUGUCUAUUCUUUCUAGUGAACCCCAUUUAUUUUUCAAGCUUAUCUCAAAUUUUUACUGCUCUAAGCAGCCCCUAUAACCUCCUCCCGCUGCCCACAGAGUUGGUUGUCACUCUGUCACGUGCACGCUUUCAUUACAGUGUCUGCCUCUAUGUAUUACUGUCAUGCGUGUAGGGGGUUGAAGCUUGUUGAUGUUGCUGUUAUGUUUUAUUUAGUCUAUUCCCUAGGAUGGAGCUUGGGGUCGAGUAGGUGUGCAGGCAGUGUUUUCUAGAGACUUCUAGUGAUCUAUUUUCCUGGACCUUAGUAAAAGAAACAUAGUACCCUCGUAGGGAAAGCCUUGCAAAGGCCUUCAGGGGAGACGGAUACAUGAUGAGCCCUAAGCAAAAUCCAGGUGACAUUGUAUGACACUGAGGGAGGAGACAGAAAGCCUUAAAACCCGAUACAGAACUGUGAUACUGUUCAGGAUGCUAAUGGGUCUUUAGAGUGACAUCUCUGAGUGAUUUUGAAAUUACAUAGUUCCGUAUGGCAGAUGGGAAUUCAGAAUUUCUGGAAAUGUCAAAUACAUCUCAGAAAGAUGUCUAUUAAAAAGAACUAAAUAUAUUUGUUUGGUGUUGGACAGGCUCGACUUCAGUUAUCUGGAAAAGGCCAAGGUGCCAGAGGAAUGGGAUGUAAACUCCAGUCAUAAACUGACUUGAUUUGGUUUGAUUAAAUGCUAUCAUGUGCCCAGCAUUGUACACAUGUACAAUAAAGAACCAGAGACGUGCUCUCCAGGGAGGGAAGAGAUAAAGCUGAAACAGCUAAUAUGGGCGGCACAAUGUUCACACCCAACUGAUUGACCCAGAUUAGGAGGAUUAUAGUCCUUAGCAGAUAGAGGGGACAUGAGGCAUCCUGUUAGCCUGGAAGAUAUGGGGAAGACAGGUGGGACUUGGGCCAACCCUUAUAGACUAAGAAGAUAUUAAGAUUAGUGAAGAAGAAGAUAAGGUUCUCUAGCUGAUGGAGACCACUCCAGGAAAGGCCCUGGGGUGGGACCGGCCAGAAGAAAUGAGAUCAUAGAAUUUGGAGUAGUGAGUAGGAUAAUGUAUUGCCUGGUAUGUCAGAUAAUGGGGACUGGUGACCCUUGGGCAGGAGUACUUGCUUCUAGAUGUUGUGGCCAAGACAAGGAAACAAAUGGACUCUUACGUGAAUGGGUCAAUUAUCUAGCCUAGUUGCUAUUACAUAGUCAAGUCACAAAUAGUUUGGUGGUAUUGGUAUGGAGAAAGGCCCCCAAUGUCUAGAAUGCCUCCAGUGGCCUUCCGUGCCAUUCACUGCCUCCAUAAAGGGCUUCAAGGUCCUGUAUUAUCUCCUGCUACUGUCCCCUAUACUUACACUCCCCCACUCUGGCCUCCACACAGCCGAGCGCCCUGCCACCUCAGGGCCUUUGUACUUGCUGACAUUCUUCUUUCCAAAAUACCUACAUAAUUUGGUUCUUCUUCUUCUUCUUCUUCUUCUUCUUCUUCUUCUUCUUCUUCUUUUGUUUUCUGAUAUUGCUCAAAUGUGACCUCAUCAGAACACUCUUCUGAACACUCAAUGCCAAACAGCACCUGUGUGGAACACUCUGUUUUUCUUAUGCUGAUUCAUUUUUUCUUCCUGGUCCUUGUACUGCACCCUUGUUGCCAGGCUGUGCAAAAUGUAAUGGAAAUAGGACAUGAGCAUCAUAAUACGUUGCUUCUGUUUUGUCUGCCAGGAACCAGACUUAGUAUUAGGAAGCCCAUACACAUCGGGUGUUUAAUGGUUAGGAGGCCCCGUAAAAAACUGCCGUUCCCACUUCGCAGUUAUGGAAAUUGGGGCUAAAAGAAGGCAACCACUUGCUCAAGCCACACAGCUAGGCUGAGCUGGGGUUAAAAUCCAGGUGUGCGGAGUGUGAGCCUGGCUCCUUCUGCUGUAGCAGAGAUGACUAGGUGGUGGCUCAUGUGAUGGAAGGGCUCAGAGUCUAGCAGCUGGAGGUGGGAGACAGAUAUGGUAGAAGAUUACAACAGACACACCCAGAGCCUCCGGGAAUGGAACAGAGUCAAAGGAGAAGAAAAAUCCCAAGAUGUGUAAGCUGUUGACUCUGAAGAAUUUUGCUUGCUUCCAACUCUGUGAGAAGGUGUGGAAACCAUCUGGGAAGUGCUCUGGGCUGUGCCUCCAAGGGUUGUGGCUGAAUCCUUGCUGUUCCAUACCACCUACGGGAUCAUGGGCAGUUGACUUUGCUUCAAUGGGCCUGGGUUUUCUCACCUGCCAGGAACAUUGGACCUCGUGUUCCCCAAAGUCCCUUCCGUCUCCAUGCUGAUGGUGGCACGCAGACAAAAUGAAUUCCAGUGGGUUGGCCAACCACGAGAAGUCGAUAGGAGGGAGACUCAGCUGGCCUUCCUUGGCACUUCCUUUUCUCCCCAUGCGAUGCUUCUUCUCUUCCUUUCCAGUUCAGCCCUAAGGUGUGAGACACAGAAUCCCAAGGCUGGAGUUGUGGGAGAAAGACUGUGAGGAAAUCUCAAGGGGAAACCAGAUGGGGAGCCUGGACCAAGCUUUCUUCCCGGGGGCCUGUGACAUCGCUCACAAUUCUGUGGAGUUUGGGGAACAGAGUGCCCUAUCCACUUUAUCUGAAGACAGAAGGGCAAAGUGGGAGACCACAGGAUCCCCAUGGAUAAAGGACACAGGCUGGCCCCCCACUCUCAGCACUGGGAAUGGGGGGUGAAGGGCCAGGACAUGGGUGUGAGGUAGAAAUGGAUGUGGGGGAACUACACACUUCUUCCAGUUCACAUCUAGAUCUUUUAGCCAGUGCUCCACGUGGCUGAAUGGGAAAGCUGAACACCUGACUAUCGCCGGAGGCGGAGCUAGUAUACAGGUCUGGGCAAAAGCAAAAUUGGGGCAGAGAAUGGACUUCUGUUCAGGCAGGACUUUCAAAGGGUUUGGUGCCCACACUGAUGGUUUCUGUUGGCAAAGACAGCGUCUGUUCAGUUGAAACUGAACUUCUCCAUAAACCCUGUUUCCUCCUACCCGCUUUCCCCAUCUCUUUCCUCACCCUUUCCUGAACAAUAUUAAGAAAUAGUAUGUUUUUUAAUACAAUUUCCAGUGAAAAUACAUUAUGCCCUUGACAGUGGUGUCCUUAAGCCAGCUUAUGAGCCGAUUGUUAAAUUUUCAGAAAUCGUGCGAGCUGAUUGUUCAACAUGGCCGUUAUUUAAAAAUUAAACUAUAAAACUUAAUUAAAUAAGUUAUGAUGAAAACAACAGUAAUAAAUGCUCAAAGUCAUCACUUCCUAAUUAUUGGACUGUCUCUUACCAUUUUCUGUGCUCUUGAGUUUACUUACAUCCAUCACAUCUGUAUGAUGAAAAAUACUGUAGAAUGGGGGUCACAUAUCUUUGUAAUUCCAUGUUCAGCAAAAUUAUCUUGGUAGCUCUAAAGUAGUCAUGGUUGGGAGCAUUUAUACCACGGAAAUCAGCAAACGUCACAAAUCAAGCCUCGAUUUAUUAAUUUGUUGAUUGCCUAGACAUAAAAGAGUGGUGGGUAAAAUGUUAAUAAUGCAAGUUAAACUUAAAAAACGUGCCAUGUCUAUAGGUGUUCCAUUGUGAAUAACCCACCAAAACACGGAGGAAUAUUAUUUUCAUUUUCAAAAACUGAUCUGAGUCAGCAAAGAAGCUGCUCAUGUCAUUGAUAAACAAGCGAGAUGCCAACACACAUCUCUAUCCUUUCACUUCCAUCUUUCUUGUUAACUAAAAUGAAAAUAUCAGGGCACCUGGGUGGCUCAGAUGGUCAAGCAUCUGGCUCUAUUUUGACUCAGGUCAUGUUCCCAGGGUUGUGGGAUCAAACCCCUUGUCGAGCUCCAAACUCAGUGCAGAUUUUCUCUCGUCUGCCCCUCCCCUGUGUGCUCUCUCUCUCUCUCUCUUUCUCUCUCUAAAAUAAAAAAAAUGAAAAUAUCAACUAACAUUCAUAUCUAAACUGUUGUUCAUCAAUAGCUAUCAUAGGUUGGUAACAGAUACAGUAAUUUGGCAAACAUCAAUGAAAGCAUUCUGUGAGAACGACUUGGCUGUGUGAAAUGUACAAUAAGGAACAUUAUAUAUUUUCUUAUUAUUUGUAAAUUGUGUACUAUAAUAUUUCACAUUGGCAAAAUUUAUAAUCAACUUAUGUAUGAAUGCAUAUAUUCAUAUAUAGG